GCGUCAGUCCUCUUAAAUGAUCGUAAUCCCUCUGUGAUGAGUGAAUGAAAGCUCCGGCAUCUUCCCCCAAAUAAAGAAAAGGAAUGGCGCGGCGCACCUUUUCGACAAGCCGAACACGAGAUCCGCCAUUGAGCUCGUGCAGCUCCGGGCCGCUCGUAACGAGGAACACCAGCUCUUCCUGCGACGACGCCUGGAUGGAUGGUGGCUGUACGUCCUGCCAGCGCUGUCGUGCGUGCAGCGGUGCAGGUGCAGCCAUGUUGAACUCUAAUUAAAUUCGAAUUAUACUAGAAUUUAAUCCAAAACAUUUCCUCAAAAAACCCCAGAAACAAACAACCCUAUAAUCCUAACCUUUUGAACUCCCUUCAAAUUUGAAUAAAUAUAAACCCCUGUCAAAAUACCAAAUACCAAACUCCCUAAAAUUGAAUUCCGAAGAAAUACUGUUGGCAGCAGGUGGAGAGAAAGUAUUUCGAAUUUGAACAAAGCCAAAAGUCUUUCAAAUGAAUAUCAAGCCAAUUCCUAAACCUAAACUUCAGGUUGGGCCGAAUUCUUCAAGCCAGCCCACCACCUCUCUUCUCUUUCUUUCUUUUAUUAAUCUGGCCUAUCUUUUUGGCCCGCUCGAGCUGAGCCGGCCUGCUCAAUCUCCUAGCCCAACUCCAUGUCCCCAUGGCCCGCUAGCCCAUCUGGGCCCAACUUGACCCAUCCACCUGCCUGUCCUCCCCCAGCUCACCUCCUACGGUCCUACGGUUUGGGGUCCAGGUUCAGUUGAUCCAGCAACCAGCACGACACCAAGCGGAGAUCAGGGAACGAAAGUGCCGCUGUUUGGGUUAGACAGAUCAGCUGAAAAUGUCGUCCAAGUUGUGGACUACAUGGAGAAGCGAAACAGGCGCUCAAGAAGGGCUUUGUCGGUGCAGUUUCAAGAUAAAGUUGGUAAUGAAAUUCAGCGUAUAAGAAGGAAGCUUAGCGAGAUAUCUGAAAGUGCGCGCAAACCGUUUGAAGAUUCUUGAUUUGGGAAGCACUGAGCUAGAGAAGAGCCAUGUCGAGGAUAUAAUUAAAAAGCCCUUGAUACAUAACAUUGACGAGUUUGAAAAACUAGGGAAAAAGCUUGCAAGGAAAUGUAAGGGAUUACCACUUGCACUAGCUGUUCUGGGGGCUAUCUAUCAAAAAAUUUUAACUCUAGAAGCAUGGUCAGAUAUACUACAGGGCUAGGCAUCAACUGAACAUGGACACAUGAUGGGAAACAUACUAGCUCCAAGUUACAAUGACUUGCCAGAUCAUCAUCUCAAGUCUUGCUUCCUCUAUCUUGCUAUCUUCCCUGAGGAUUACUCCAUAUCCAUAUUGGAUCCUAUUGAAUUACGGAUAGCAGAAGGCUUCAUUCCACGUACAACGAAGCACAAGUUGGAAAAAGUAGCACAUAAGUACGUAACCGAGCUGGCUCAAAGAAGCUUAGUACCAAUUGUUAGCAUAAGCGAGGUGCAUAUGGGUGGAGCGAACAAAUAAGGAUCCAUGAUAUUUUACGUGAUUGGUGCAUAGAAGAAGCAAGAUAUGCUGGUUUUGUUGAUGUCGUCGCCAACACUGCAGGUCAGGCUUCCCGCUUCCUCUCCAUUCUCUGUAUACGGUUCGUUCAUUUUGGAAGUACUUCAUAACUGUUGGCUCCUUAGUGACCUAUCAUGCACUCCAAAAAAUUGCAGGCCAUGUUGGCGAAUACCAUGGUACCCUAUCGCUCUUCUUUGCAAAACUACCUUGAUGGUAUAGCAUGUUCCCAGAAAUGCCGAACCUCCAGACUUUGGUUGGCUUUGAACUUUCAUCAUUCUAUCUACGUAAGCUAUGGUAUCUAAGAGUGCUCCAUGUAGAAAACACGAGCCUGACGAAUUUCUCUAGGGCAAUCAGUGUGUGCAUUCACUUAAGAUAUCUCAUGCUCAGAAAGUGUGGGCAGGUCACGCUCCCUUCUUCAAUUGGACAAUUCCUUCACUUGCAAACUAUAGACCUGAACAACACAGAAUUGAAUUCAGUGGUGCCAAACUCUAUAUGGGACACUACAACUCUAAGGCACGUUUACCUUGAAAGGGGAUUUUCUGCACCGAGGAAUCGACCACAAAAGCAGCUCCAGUCCUUGUACUUAUCUGUCCCAGAUGAGGACAGUAAGUAUUUCCAGAGUAAGAACAUGGUGGCCUUUUUUAGCCAAAUGACCCAACCAACUACUCUCUCCUUGGAUGUUGAAAACCUAUACUACCCGCAAAGAUGAUUCAUAUACUAACAAACUUAGAUGACCUUUCUGGUUGAGGUUUACCUUAAUAAGUUGCCUGAGAGCCGACUCUUACCACAAGGCCUACGGGAGCUUCAUUUGUUUGCUGAUGCCAUUAAAGAAGACCCCAUGCCGAUCCUGGAGAAACUUCCCUGCCUGGUAUUGCUCGAGUCAUCGGGGCCGAACCAUGUUCUGCUCUGCUCAAGGGUUCAAUUCCCUCGGCUGCUAGAGUUGGACCUGUAUUACUUCAACAGUCAGGAGUGGAGAAUGCCUACCGGGGCAAUGCCAAGGCUCUCACGCCUGAAGCUUUAUCGUUGCCGGAACAUGAAGAAGCUCCCAGAGGGGCGCAC
rnacentral:lncRNA from 1 species